AAAAUUACCUUGCAUGGGAGAUACCAUCAUCAUGAAGGUGGUUUUCCCAGGGCGAGGCUCAUCCACUGCACUCUCGAUGUGCUGACCCGUGUGAUUUCCCCAAAUGUGGGAAACUGGACUGCAAAAUUUGUGGUAAUGGGGGGCUGUGUUUGUGCAUUCCCCUG
rnacentral:snRNA from 1 species